rnacentral:SRP_RNA from 1 species
GCCGGGCGUGGUGGCUCACGCCUGUAAUCCCAGCACCUUGGGAGGCUGAGGCAGGUGGAUUACCUGAGGUCAGGAGUUCGAGACCAGCCUGGCCAACAUGGUGAAACCCCAUCUCUA